AUGGCUGUCCUGACACCUUGUAGGCCCAUUGCUGGUUCAUUCAGUUAAGGAAAGGGAGUCUCUUUUUACUUCAUCUCCCUGACCUACAAUGCCUCUUCCCUUAUUAGAGCCGGAAUGGUUGGAAUGGUUUCCAAGACUCCUCUUGCCUCGGGCCAGAAGCAGGUGGAGCCCAGAUAAGAAAUCCACACCUCCCAUCUCUUCAAUUCCAGCCGGUGCUGUCCUCCCUGCCAUUGGUCUUGAACUGCAAGGCUGGUGUAGCUGUUUGGUGUUGCUGGGGGCCGGCUGCAGCUCAGUAAGAUGUUACCAUGAGAAGAGGAGAAAACAGACCAGAGUGUGAGCUGCAGAGAUAGUUUCCUCCAUGAGCUCCUUAGACGGAAUCUUUCCAGAGCCUCAUGGAUCUGACUCUUGAGUGGGAUGACAAAGGAGCAGAUAACUUCAUUCUCCACUGUGGGAGUAGAUCAUGCCUGAUCUGGGGCAACAAGUCAGGGAUUCCUUCCUUUGGCUUCUCUUAUUGAUCGAGGUCUGUGAUUGGAGCCCACCUGACAAAUGGAGGAAAAGACUUAUACUCAGUGCUUGAGGUAGACCCUUGUCUCUCUGUCUUACUAGACAUGAACAACAGAGCUCACAGCUCCAAUUUCACUGACACCAUCGGAUGACUACGGGGCAAUCACCGUUAAGAUGAAGUUGGUGUUGAGGGAGGCGGGGAGGAAAGAGAAAGAAACAUAG